CCGGGGUGACUAAUCCGCCGGCUGGCUCCCUGCGCCCCCUCCCCGGCUCAUUCAGCCCGCGGGGCGAGGGAAGGUGGCCGGACCCGGCGACACGCCCCUGCCCGCGACCGGCGGGGAAGCGCAGAUGCUGGCACCGAGGUGCCUCAGCCAGCCGCACCUCGGGUCCUGCAGGCAUCCCCUCCGGGCCGGGAGGUCAGGCCCCAGAGCCCGAGGCCCGCCUCACCACCGCCCUCCAGAACGGGGAAGAUGAGGCCCAGAGAGGGCCAGGGACUUGUCCGAGCUCCACAGCGAGGGAGGCAGAGCCAGGGCACCGUGGUGAGGGCGUGCGAGGACAGGCUGCAGGCUCCUGGAGGCGUCUGCGAGCUCAGUCUGCGCCCUGUGCAACCGCGGGUAAGUCCUCUGAAGUCCUCCCGGCCCUGCCCCUUCCUGGCAUCAGUACUCUCCCCUGCAAAGAACCUUUGCCCUUCCAGCUAUGGGGCGAGUCAGUAAUCCAUUCAGAACAGUUCCUGAGCCCGACAAGGGAGGUGCCAAGCAAGGUGGGGCACAGGAGGUGCAGAUUGCCCCUAAAAUGGGGUGUUGUCACGACCCCCAUAGGCCCCGGAGGACACGGGCUGCGUGUGGCCCGUGCGAACUGCAGGCACCCGGAGGUCAUGACUCUGCCCUUCAAGGAGCAGCCCAUGGCCUCCAGGGAGUCCGGCUGGCGCCCCACUGUGACCCACGACAGGACAGGAGGGAGGCCAUUGUGGCAUCGAGGGUGGGGGGUCCUCGGUGUCCCCACUCCAGGAGGCAGGUGUGCGGGGCGGGAGCCCCGGACAGGGAGCUGGGCCCGGGACACGCUCCAUGCACGCUUCCCACCGUGGGGCCACCCACGCGGUGUCUGGAUCUAAAAUGUCCCCUCGGCCCGGCAGGUGCCUCUGGCUGGGUCUGAGAUUCCACGGGCCACCUGCCUCCUCGCACCACUUCUCCUGGGGGCGCCAUGUGGCUUCCUGCGCAUCACUCAACCCCUCUGGCCCCAGCGGUGUCCUUGUCACACAACAGGCAGACUGUACUAAACGGUGGCCGAGGUUCUCGGGCGGCUCGGAGGCUGACGGCAAUGGUGGGUGGCAGGGAGGAGGCUGGACCUGUGGCCAGUCUGUCCCCUCCACCGGAGUGCCCCAUCCAGCCGAGCGCACAUCACCCCCGGUUCAAAUGAUAGAGGCCUCUCGGGUUUUAAAACCUAAGCAUAAAAACUCAUCAUGGUUUUACCUGUUUUCUACUUCUGAGCCCACUGUCACCACCUCCAGGAAGUCUUCCCGGCCUCUUAGCGCUGUGUUAAUGGAGUCUUUUGUGACCUUGCCCCGCCUUGUUCAUGCCCGCCUCAGAGCCCCCGAGCACAAUGUCGUCCUCGAGGUGUGUCAGUUGAAUGUGUGUGUGCGUGUGUGUGCGCGUGCACAUUAGUGUGCGGCGUGUAAGUGUGUAUGUGUGUGCGACUGCACCUUCCUGGUCUUCUGUCCAACGAACCCAUGUUCUUGCUCGCUGACUGCAUCAGGCUCUCAGCUUGCUCUGGGGACAUGGGUGGACGAGACCCACCUGGGUCCCACCCUGAGGAGACUCCAGUCAAGUUCCCCAGCACCCCAGAUGUUUUGGGGCCAGCAGCCCAGAGGCGCCCUGAAGGGUGGGGAGAGCCGGAGGGUGAGCAGGGGUGGGCCGGGUACAGGUGUGCCGGCAGGGCAGGGGGGAGCAGGGGGCCCUGCUGGAUUCUGUCCCUCUCCAGGGGCAGAGCUGGAGGGGAGCGGGACUAGACGGGCCGUGGGUGAAGGUGGGGACCAAGGCCGCCGACCUGAGUCUGUGGCCCGCAGGGGGGACGUUAGGCCGAGCAGGGGCAGGUGCUGGAGAGCCAAGCUAUGGGUGGGCAGGGCCUGUUUGAGGGCUGUUAGGAGGGUCUCAGGGAUGGGGAGAGCCAGGGGCCCGGUGUCCUGGCAGUCCGGGGUGGAAGCCCUGUGGGGACUCGGCAGGAGCAGCUGGGGGCCCAGCCGUGGGGGUUGGAGCCCGCGGCCGCCCCCUCCUCUCUGCCCUACUGGGCCCCCAGCCAGGCUGUGCCUCCCGCGCCGCCCCCGUGGACGCCCAGGGGACUCAGACCGGAUCAUGCGGCAGGAGUCCCGAGCGUGGCCGGCCCAGCCAGGAUGGGGGGUGUGCUGCCAGCUGGCCCUGGCCAGAUGCCCCCGGAGCUGGGGGUUCAGGAUGGCCAGGGAGGGGGUGGUGGCCAACUUUCCUGCCGUUCCCUGCGUCUCCAUUUAGAUCUCUCCCCAGCACAGAGCGCCGGCCUCCAAGCACACUUCCGGAGCCAUAGAAGGAGACGGGCUGAGAAUAGCUCAGCGUGACGCAGCGAGGAGCUUCCCCACGCAGGCAGGCUCCGCGCCACAGAGGGGCCGCCCUGGAGGGACCCCUGCCCGGCGCCACCCCCCUGCCGGAAACGGGGCAGUGGCUUGGGGUCCCCUUCUGCCUUCUGUCUGCGAGCUACUCCCUCUUCUUCCUCGCGGCUGGGGCCUGGGCCCCUGCCCUCCACAGCUGUCACCUCCGCCCAGGCACACCUUGUCCAGGUGAGGCCUCUCUCCGGGGGUCCUGACCUGGAUGUCCCCCAGCAGCCGGCCUGGCCACCCUGCUCGGCUGUAGGCCCCACUGCUGCCCCACGCUGGCGCCUUCCCCCGUUCCCGCUUCGUGGGCGUGGGCCCCUCCCCGUCUGCUGCAGGCCUGUGGGGUGCCAGGCGUGGGCCGUGCUGAUCCUUGGCCUUCGGGGGCCCAGUGUCUGCCGGGCCAAAGCCUCCUGGGCUCCCAGAUGUCAACUUGUGUCCCCAGCUGCGAGGGGCUGCCGCACAGGGGUGCCUCGACGGCACCUGUCUCUCGGCCCCAGGCCGUGCUCUGCCGUAGCUGUCUUGCAGCUCCUACUAACUUUGAGCAAAAGUCCCUUAUUUCCAUCUGGCUGUGGCCCCCACCAAUUAUGUGGCCAGCCCCACCCGCCAUCCUGGGGUUGGGGGUCCACUGUUCUGUAAUCUCUCUGGAAAGAUGGUCGGCAAAGAUCACGUGGGAGAAGGGGACCCACGCCACACGCUGAGCGUCUCACGAAGACUUGGGAUGGCUGGCGGUGUGGGGUGGGGCCCCGGGGACCCUGCCGGGGAGCCAGCGGCCCCCUUAUUACUGUCGUUGCCCAUCUGUCACUGUGCAGGUGGACUGAGCAACCCCAGAUGCCCUCUGAGCCUCGGCCUCCUUAGCGGAUGGGGGUGUCACCCUGCUCAUGGUGGUGACCGACCCCAAGGUGGGUCAGGACACCUGGCCGGCACGUCUGGUUCACAACCCACAGCCCUGAUCUACGUUCUUGGUCUUAAGCUCCAUGUCCGGGACAGGCUGCCGUCCAGUGUCCCGGGAGUCAGGAAAUGUCCAAGGUUGCUGAGAAACUGGUGCACAGCACAGACCAAGAUGGAUGUCCACACCCCCAACCGCUGCCCGAGUCUCUUCCCCUUCAUGGGUUCGUUUAGAUCUCUCCCCAGCACAGAGCGCCGGCCCGCAGGCACACUUGCGGAGCCCUGGCCAGAGUGGGGGUGUUGGAAGGGCAGCAUUUCAGAGGGGGGGGGGCCGGCCCCUAAGACAAGGGCCAGGGCGCGGAGGGCAAGCUGCCUGCGGGCUCAGGCUGGGUUGGGCCACAGAGUGAGGAAGGGGCGGAGCCAGCCAUCGGGGGCGGGGUCAGCGCCCCCUGAAAACCGCCCUGUGGGCAGGGGUCCCCCUGGGAGGUGCUGUGCUUGUCCCUUACCUGGGGGUGGGGAGGCUCUGGGGCCUUGAGUGGAGGCAGGGCGGGUUCCAGGGUCUUCCCACGCAGCCCACUCUCCCAGCCCCACGGCCGCCCCUGCCCUCUGCUCCGUCCCCCUCUGUCCCUGACCCGGGCCGCCUGCAUCCAAGGCCCAUCCAAGUCCUGGGCGCCACCUGCCGGCUGCGUGCCUGCCUAGCACGCUCUCUCGCCUCCCCUCCUCCCCUCCUCCCCUCUCCCCACCAUGCCCUCUCCCUCUGCUGCGCUCCAGUUUCCCGGGCUGCAGGCCUGAUGCCUACUGGCCUGACUCCUCAGACCUCCCCGCAGAGGGCAGUCACCGUUACCACUUCCCUCGGUCCACCCCAGAAGGAGACCAGGCCCUCCCUGUGGGGGCUGGGGCUGGGGCCAAACCACUAGGCGAGAGAAGCAGCAGGCCAGG